AAAAUUUCGCUACUCUUUUCGCCUUUACUGCUUUCCUUCUUCCAUCUCUUUUUUUUUUCCUCGAGAGUCGCAACAACAACACGAGGCCCCUCCCCCUCCUUUGCUCUGCCCGCGACGUCUUAUCGCCUGCGCCCCAUUGCAGCAUUUUCUGCUCUCUUUGCUCAUUUCUGGAGCCUGUUCCUCGUCUCCCCCGCCCAGGCCCCCGCUUGCAGCGACAGCUGAUCUGACUUAGUUCCCUUCUCCCCGCUUGCUUGCUUGCCCUCACGCGUGCACGCACAUACACACACACUCACGACACCCCCUUCCUUCAUUUCCUGCCUUGUCCCUUGUGUGCGUGUGCCGCGUCGUGCCGUAUCUCUCUCUCUCUGCACCCAUCUCUGCCUUAUCCUCUGUAUCUCGGGCCUCUCUCGUGCUUGGCUGCGUGGGCAUCAUUAUCAUCAAUAUCAGUAAGAGAAGAUCGGAGGGAUAAGGGUGGUGGGGGGGGCGGCGACGGCGGUCAUCGACACGUACUUGCCUGGCUUCUUUUUUCCUCUUCCUCUGGCCCCCCUUUUCAGGACCGUCGAUUUGCACUGCUGCUUCUCCGUGCGCUUGCGUGUGCGUGGACCUCUCCCCCGCCGUGGUGACGUGCGAUAGCCCUCACCCCCUCCCCUCUGUCUCUCGCGCACCUUUCCGCUCUCCCUGCACAAGAAAGAUCGCCCGCUGCGGCAGGGACAACAUCCUCCGCGAACGCAGAAAAAAAUGGAGCCGCAUAGCGUUGCCGUGUCCACGCCGAUGAUGGUGUGCGACGCCUUCGCGAAGGACCGCUUCAAAGGCAACCCGGCCGCUGUCUGCCUUGUGCCGACCUCCGUGUACUGCAUGGAGUGGUCUGCCGUGAGCAGCCUCGAGGCCAGCUUGGGCCGCGGUGAGCCGGAGUCGCAGGAGAGAAAGAUGACGGAAAAGGACCGCCAGGCGGCGGCCGAGAAGUACUCGGUAGAACGCAACAUCAAGAUGGGCCGCGCGUUCCAGCAGGUGGCGAAGGAGAUGAACUUAUCAGAGACCGCCUUCGUCUACCGCCUGCCGGCCUCGCGCAUCCGCACUAUUCAUGAGCAGAUUAUGCACAAGUGUAAGGAAUUCGAAAACGAGUACGAGGAGAAGGUGAAGCACGACAACGAGGAGCGCCGCCGCAUGAGCGCCGCCGUCACGGAAGAUGACGAGGCACCGGGGCUUCCAGCUCCGGAUCGGCAGCAGGUAUCGGUGGCGCACACUAUGGAAAGCAGCCAAAACCCGACGGACUCGGCGAAGCAUCCGGGCAGCAUGGCAUGGCCGCCCUCGCCUGGUCUGUUGCCUAGCUCCAGCUUCUCUAUGGCGAACUCCGGUUUGAGCUUCCUCUACACGCGCGCCUCCAACUCCAUGAUGACCAGCAGCGAGACGGGCCGUCGUCCGCGCCGCAUGCAUACGCAGUGGUUUGGCCUGCGCUGGUUCACGCCGAUAAAGGAGGUGCCUCUGUGCGGCCACGCCACCUUCGCGGCGGCGCACGCCAUCUUCGAGAUCUCGCGGCUCGUUCAGUCGGAGAGUACGCGCCACCUGGUGUCGCAUAUCCCAAUGGAGUUCUUUGUGCCUGCGCAGACGGACGUCAUCUGCUUCGUGACGGAGGCCGGUAUCAUCAGCGUGCGCCGCAAGUCUGACUCCAUCGCCAGAGCCGGCAGCUUAAUGUUGCAGAGCUACACCUGCUCGCCGGACACGUACGAGGUGCACUUUCCCAUGACAGAGGCGCUGUCGAUCAAGGAACAGGUGCCGCAGGAGCUCUUCGGAGAUGUGGCGGCGGCGCUCGGACUGGCGUACGGCGCCGAGUGUAUCGAAGACAUUGCCUACUCCAAGUUGACCGGCUACUACGUGGCGCGUCUGUCCACGCCGCACAACGUGCUGGAGUGCCGGCCCGACUGGGAGGCGCUUCGCCGUGCCUUUAGCUCGACCCACUUCAUGGAUGCCCUCAAGGAGCAAUCUGCUGUUAUGGGCCCCAUCAAGGGCCUCGGUGUGACAGCUCAGAACGAGGGGCACAUUAUGGUAGGGCCGGCUGCCAACGCCCAAGUUAUCUCGCGCUUCUUCGCGCCGUGGAUGGGCGUUGAUGAGGACCCGGUGACAGGUUCGCUGUGCACCACAAUCUUGCCGUACUGGCUGCGCUUUCUCCAGAACGGCCGCUUCAAGGUCGGCGACCACCUGCACUUCUACCAAGCCAGCAAGCGCGGCGGCUCUAUGACAGGCAUCGUCAUUGGGCGAAAAGCGGAGCGCGUGGCGCUGAUCGGACCUGUCGUUACCUUCAUGCGCGGCAACUGCACCUUCGAGGUGGAAGAGGAGCACUAAGGCGUGGCGGGCACACACCCCUAUGCGUACAUGCACGCCUACACACAUAUAUCUAUACACACACGCACACACGCACGCAGAGGCGCACACUCCUCCUUUGCCCCCUUCACAACAUCAGAAGCUGCCGCGACACUGCGCCAUCCUGUACGGCCGUGGGCGCCAUGCGGGCAACUCUUCUUCCGUUCAUGAUGUGCCUUGAUUCGUGCCGGUUUCCUUUUUGGUUCUCUCUGCCCUCCCUCCUCUCCUCCUCCCGCUGCAUGCCACUCACGGAUGAGGCUGCCCUCAAGGAAGGUCCGACCCCGAAGCUGCCACGCCUGGGAAGACCCCUCAUUCUCUUCGUCAUGGCGUCGCCAGCAUCUGUAGAAGUGCAAAGGCCCGUGCCAGUGAGAGAAAGGAGACGUGCAUAUACGCGAGCACGGUCACAGGCACCGAGACAGCGGCAGAGACGCCUAUGACACAUUCCUUGCAGUGUCUCUCGCUCGUCUCGCACGACAUCUCGCAACCCUAUCAAGGCAAUGCGGUGUGUGUGGGCGUGGGGUGUGGGUGUGGGGGGGUGGGGUGGGGGGGCGGGGGUAACGGGGCCGCGCUGGUUUUCCCAAAAGUCUCGUGCGGCUUCUCUCCGUGGUGCGUCUUCUUCUGCUUUGCUGUGUCCGAUACUGUGCACACUGUGGAUGCCCGCAGCGUGCUGUGCGCCCGGCUCGCUCGCUCCCUUUCCGUCUCUCACGACAAACCACUCCAAACCCCGCCACAUCACUUGUACCUCAUCUCCGCUGUUCCUUCCCUUGUUGUUGUGUGGCGUCGUAUCCUUCGUCGCCGCCACCGCUGCCGCCUCCUGCCCCAUGGCAACGAAGGCGGUGGGGCGGGGAGAAGAACGCGAUCGACGUGGGCUGCGGUGGCGACGGCCGGAGGGAGCGUCCUCCAUCUCAUCGCGUGAACCGAACAAAGAACAACAAGCAACCAAGAGAGGUACACUGCGGUCUGUGAGGCGUGAGGCUUUCCCGCGCGAGCGAUGGGGGGUGGGUGUCACAGGUUGAGAGAAGGGGGCACAGAGAAGGCGAAAACGGUGGAGCGUAGGCGGAGGAGAAGCUGCAGAGGGGCGCUGACGGACAUCAACGGGAGGGGCGACAGGCGGCGAGUCUGUGCACUUGGAAGUGAUGUAGGACGGAGCAGAGCGAGGAGGCAGGUAACAGGCUUGGCCGGCGUGCGCGGAAAGAGAGACAACCGUAUGCGCUGCCACACAUUUGGGCAGCCACCGCGAUGCCCCGCCCUCCCCGCAAAAUUUUGCCCUUGGUCGAGGCUAUGAAGGAUCGAACGUGCCGCCGACGAAGAGGCAGUAUGCGUGAGGGACGAUGGGGGGACCGGAGAGAAUGCCGUGGCGAAACAAAAGACAAAGAAUGCGGGGCGAUGCAUGAGCGGAGCAGAGCGAGAGAGGGAGACCAACAAGGUAGUGGAGAGAAAGAGAGAGGGUAGAGGCGGGGUGGGGGGGCCGAAUGAGCGUGUUGCGUGAGAGAGAGCGGCCCCAUCAUGCGCCCUUGUUGCGUUCGCUCGCUCGCUCAUUUUCUUAGUUUUUGACAGCUGUUGAUGCGUUGUGCUGCCGCUGCUGCUGCUGUUAUGUGCGUGUUGAUUAUCGCAUGCACAUUUGUGACAUGUGCGCGUACGUCGUUGACACGCUUGCCAGAUGCACACAGACACACACAUACACACACACACACCCACAUAGACGUGUAAUCUCUCGCUCGCUCUCUCGCCCUCGCUCGUUCUUUUCGUUUCGGCUUCUUUCGCGCUUUUGUCUGUAAGGUUUGUGAUGCGAACUGCUGCUCUUGUCUCUCUCGCUCCCGUCGCCGGCCCUCCCCUCUCCCCCUGCCCCCCCUCGGCCGUCGCCCUCCGCCUGCAGCGGCGGCUUCCCUCACCUGGCCUCUCAGGUGCUUGUCUUCCUCUCUGUCUUUCUCAUUGCGGGUGUUCGCUCCUGCGCUGCUUAUCGCGUUGUAGAUCCCCCCUCCUCCCCUAUUUUCUUUGUGGUGUUGUUGUCGCCGCCGAUGCGCGCGUGUGCUGCGGGUCAUUUUCGAUGGGCAUUCGCUUUUCUUUUCCAUUUUUCUUUUGCCGUGCUUGAGCCUCUGUUGGUUUGCCCCCCCCCCCCCCCCACACACACACACACGCCCACUCACAAACGCGAGCUUCACGGGAGAGAGCGGACGUGUUUGUGAGUGUGUGUGCUGCCUAUACGCAGAAUCGCCGCAGCCUGCCCACCGCUGCCUUAUCCUCCGACUCGUUCGACCUCUCCCCAUGCCCCCCCCUACUGAGAAGGAUGCACACAGGCGCGCUCUUUAGCAGGUGCUUGGCGUCGUCAGCGCGCACACGCACGCGCCUCCACCCACCCGAUGGGGAAGUGCUUUGCUGCUUUCGCUUUUUCUCGCGGAGCGGCGAGCCCCGCUUCCCUUCGUUGCCGCUCCGCGAACACUCAAACAAAAAAUUGUUUUCUGCCGAGCUGCACACGGCCGCUCUCCUUCCAUCUUCCAUGUGCUCUUUGCUUCCUGCUGCUGCCGAUGUCUGUCUGUGUGUCUCUGAGUGAGUUUGAGACGGAUGUGGGCUGUUUGUGGGUCUCUGCGUGUGUGUGUAUGAGGCGAGACAGCGGUUCCCCGAAUCGGUCCUGGGUUGCACAGGGUUUUCUUGCUCGAGGACGUGAACUAAGGACCAAGAGAGAGACACGCGCGCACCUACGCAUGCCUUGCGAACAAUCACGACGUGUUGCCUUGGUGUACCGGAAAAGAGGAAGAGGAAGGUGGUAGUAGUGGUGGGGAGGAGAUGACAGAGAAGAGGGCGACCGCAGCAGCAAGUGUGAGAGCGGGGCGCAACACGCGCGCACACACACACAUGCCUCAAGUAAAAGAAAAAAGGAGGCUAGCCAAACCUCCAGCAACACCAUCACAUUGAUCGCGUGUGCCGUACGGGUCGCGUUUUGCCUCUUUUCCGUGCUUGUUGUACGUUUCUUGAAUGGUUUGUGGAUGUCGAACGCCCCCUUCCUCUCUCCCUCUACCCCUUUCCUCUGUCAAGUGCGUCUUUUCCUUCGUUUUUUUUUUUUAUCACAGGACUUUGCCUUCUUUGCUCUCUCCCUCUGUGUGUGUGUACGCACACCCAAAGUUGUCUUGCUCGCUCGCCCUCUCGCACACCCACACCCACACUCACACCCCUCCCACCCCUCUAUGUCUAUCUUGCCUUCUUGUAUGCUGUCGUUUGUUUUGUGCCACUUCCGUCCUUUCUCUGUGUCUAUGCCUGUAUCUGUGAGGUGCCGCUUUCCUCCUCCUGUCUGCUCAUCAGGCUUAUGCUUCUUCUCUACCGCCGCGUGCACGCUCCUUUCUCCCUCCCUCCCUUUCUCUCACUUCCUUUUCCUUGGUUUCUUAUCUUCAAACGUUCAACAUCAAACAACAAAAGAAAGAUGCUACCGAUGCUGAGGGAGGCCAACGUCAGUGAUGACCGGCACAUGCUCGUUGCUCGUGUGCGAGUACAGGCGUGUCUCCUUGCUUCUGUGACCCUUGUGCGUGCCACGCGCUACUUUGGGCGUUGGGGCUCGCAGUCAUUGACGGUGACUUCUCCCUGGCCGCACACACGCUUGUAUGCGUGUGCACCUUUUGGGGGGGUGCGUGCGUGAGAGAAAGGGACCGUGAAGACAACGUGGACGUGGAGCGGGUAGGUGAUGCGCGAGAGGGGAAGGCGGAAGAGGGAGACUGCGCUGUAUAUACGUUUUUGGUGAGCGGGCAGCCGGUGAAUGCGACGUGGGCGGAGGAGGUGAGAGAAGAGAGAACAGCGGUGACAUGCUGACGACACGCAGGCUCGAGGAUGUGCUUUCUUAUGUUAGGUGUGCACACCUCUUCGAUCUCUCUUCCUUUCUCUCUGACGGCCAUUGACGUGCAACCCGCAAGAGAAGCUCUCUCGCACACGUAACCCCUCCUCCCCCCUCACCCCUCCCACAAACGCACACGCACGCCCCUCAGCUCGUCAUCCCAUCACCAACGAUUUCUUCUCCGCUCCUUCUCUCUCUUUUAG
rnacentral:misc_RNA from 1 species